CCUGCCUCGCUCCACCGUUCCCUGCUCCUGCUGGCUCCAGGAGGGCUGCCCAGUUUGAAAGCACCAUUUCAGCACACAGGGCUGAAAACCUGGCCUUUAACCUGCCCUUUGAUGGGCUCUGGCACAAGAGAGCUGCCUGAAGGAUGGAAAGGAAGCAGAUGUUUGCUCUGGUCUUGUCACUAGAGAAAAGAGGAGCUGCAGCUGCAGCCCAGACGUGAUCCCUAGGGGAUGACUGUGGAAAACACUGUGGGACCCCAGGACUUCAGGCUGCCCUGGCAUUGGUGCAGUCCCACUGUGUCCUUCGAGGGUUUGUGGGUUUACAUGUGAGCCAGGAGCAGAGAGGCCAGCCUCACCUAAUGCUCUAAAAACUGGGAUAUCUAAUAAUCUGUCACUACAGUUAAACCAAAGGGUUGGCAGCAAAUUCCCUCCUGAUUAAAAACCAUUCAGUGAGCA